rnacentral:rRNA from 1 species
UACAGAGGUCUCAAGCGUUGUUCGGAUUUAUUGGGCGUAAAGAGCUCGUAGGUGGUUCGGUAAGUCGGAUGUGAAAUCUCCAGGCUCAACCUGGAGGGGUCAUUCGAUACUGCCGUGACUAGAGUUCGGUAGGGGAGUGUGGAAUUCCUGGUGGAGCGGUGAAAUGCGCAGAUAUCAGGAGGAACACCGAUGGCGAAGGCAGGUCUCUGGGCAUUAACUGACGCUGAGGAGCGAAAGCAUGGGGAGCGAACAGG